GACGAACGCUGGCGGCGUGCUUAACACAUGCAAGUCGAACGCUGAAGCUCAGCUUGCUGGGUGGAUGAGUGGCGAACGGGUGAGUAACACGUGAGUAACCUGCCCUCUUCUUUGGGGUAACGCCCGGAAACGGGUGCUAAUACUGGAUAUUCACUGAUUCUCGCAUGGGGGUUGGUGGAAAGGUUUUUUCUGGUGGGGGAUGGGCUCGCGGCCUAUCAGCUUGUUGGUGGGGUGAUGGCCUACCAAGGCUUUGACGGGUAGCCGGCCUGAGAGGGUGACCGGUCACAUUGGGACUGAGAUACGGCCCAGACUCCUACGGGAGGCAGCAGUGGGGAAUAUUGCACAAUGGGCGAAAGCCUGAUGCAGCGACGCCGCGUGAGGGAUGGAGGCCUUCGGGUUGUAAACCUCUUUCGCUCAUGGUCAAGCCGCAGCUUUGGGUUGUGGUGAGGGUAGUGGGUAAAGAAGCGCCGGCUAACUACGUG
rnacentral:rRNA from 1 species